rnacentral:rRNA from 1 species
GACGAACGCUGGCGGCGUGCUUAACACAUGCAAGUCGAACGGUAAGGCCCUUCGGGGUACACGAGUGGCGAACGGGUGAGUAACACGUGGGUGAUCUGCCCUGCACUUCGGGAUAAGCCUGGGAAACUGGGUCUAAUACCGGAUAGGACUCCGGACUGCAUGGUCUGGGGUGGAAAGCUUUUGCGGUGUGGGAUGGGCCCGCGGCCUAUCAGCUUGUUGGUGGGGUGAUGGCCUACCAAGGCGACGACGGGUAGCCGGCCUGAGAGGGUGACCGGCCACACUGGGACUGAGAUACGGCCCAGACUCCUACGGGAGGCAGCAGUGGGGAAUAUUGCACAAUGGGCGCAAGCCUGAUGCAGCGACGCCGCGUGAGGGAUGACGGCCUUCGGGUUGUAAACCUCUUUCAGCACCGACGAAGCGCAAGUGACGGUAGGUGCAGAAGAAGGACCGGCCAACUACGUGCCAGCAGCCGCAGUAA